rnacentral:lncRNA from 1 species
GUCCAGCUCUACUCUCAAACUUCAGACUACAUACAUACUGGCAGACAACAAGCUCCAUACUAUACAGGAAGACUACAUACAUCCUCGCAGACAACAAGCUCCAUACUAUACAGGAAGAUUACAUACUGGCAGACAACAAGCUUCAUACUAUACAGAAAGACUACAGACAUACUGGCAGACAACAAGCUCCAUACUAUACAGGAAGACUACAUACGUACUGGCUGACAACAAGCUUCAUACUAUACAGGAAGACUACAGACAUACUGGCAGACAACAAGCUCCAUACUAUACAGGAAGACUACAUACUGGCAGACAACAGGCUACAUACUAUACAGGAAGAUUACAUACUGGCAGACAACAAGCUCCAUACUAUACAGGAAGACUACAUACAUACUGGCAGACAACAAGCUCCAUACUAUACUGGCAGACUACAGGCUACAUACUAUACUGGCAGACUACAGACGACGUACUAUACUGGCAGACUACAGACGACAUACUAUACUGGCAGACUACAUACUAUAUUGGCAGACUACAGAUGACAUACAAUACUGGCAGACUACAUACUAUACUGGCAGACUACAGGCUACAUACUAUACUGGCAGACUACUGACGACAUUCUAUACUGGCAGACUACAGGCUACAUACUAUACUGGCAGACUACAGACGACAUACUAUACUGGCAGACUACAGACGACAUACUAUACUGGCAGACUACAGACGACAUACUAUAUUGGCAGACUACAGACGACAUACUAUAUUGGCAGACUACAGACGACAUACUAUACUGGCAGACUACAGACGACAUACUAUACUGGCAGACUACAGGCUACAUACUAUACUGGCAGACUACUGACGACAUUCUAUACGGGCAGACUACAGGCUACAUACUAUACUGGCAGACUACAUACUAUACUGGCAGACUACAGGCUUCAUACUAUACUGGCAGACUACAGACUAUACUGGCAGACUACAGGCUACAUACUAUACUGGCAGACGACAUACUAUACUGGCAGACUACAGACGACAAUCUAUACUGGCAGACUACAGGUUACAUACUUACUGGCAGACUACAUACUAUACUGGCAGACUACAGGCUUCAUACUAUACUGUCAGACUACAGGCUACAUACUAUAUUGGCAGACUAUAUACUGUACUGGCAGACUACAGACUAUACUGGCAGACUGCAGGCUACAUACUAUACUGGCAGACUACAAGCUACAUAAUAUACUGGCAGACUAUAUACUAUACUGGCAGACUACAGACUAUACUGGCAGACUAUAUACUAUACUGGCAGACUACAGGCUACAUACUAUACUGGCAGACUAUAUACUAUACUGGCAGACUACAGGCUACAUACUAUAUUGGCAGACUAUAUACUAUACUGGCAGACUACAGGCUACAUACUACACUGGCAGACUAUAUACUAUACUGGCAGACUACAGGCUACAUACUAUAUUGGCAGACUAUAUACUAUACUGGCAGACUACAGGCUACAUACUACACUGGCAGACUAUAUACUAUACUGGCAGACUACAGGCUACAUACUAUAUUGGCAGACUAUAUACUAUACUGGCAGACUGCAGGCUACAUACUAUAUUGGCAGACUAUAUACUAUACUGGCAGACUACAGGCUACAUACUCUGCUGGCAGACUACAGGCUACAUACUAUAUUGGCAGACUAUAUACUAUACUGGCAGACUACAAGCUACAUACUAUACUGGCAGACUACAGGUGACAUACAAUAUUGGCAGACUACAUACUAUACUGGCAGACUACAGGCUACAUACUAUACCUGCAGACUACAUACUAUACUGGCAGAAUACAGUUUACAUACUAUACCGGCAGACUACAGACUACAUACUAUACUGGCAGACUUUAAGCUACAUACUAUACUGGCAGACUACAAGCUACAUAUUAUACUGGCAGACUGCAUACUGUACUGGCAGACUACAUACUAUACUGUAAGACUACAAACUAUUCUGGCAGACUACAGGCUACAUACUUUACUGGCAGGCUACAGACUACAGACGAUACAGGAAACAACAGACCGCAGGCUACAUGCUAAAGACUACAGGCUACAUACUAUUUCCUGGUUAAAUAAAGGUGAAAUAAAAUAAAUAAAGACUACAUGCUCCAUACUAUACAGGAAGAUUACUGACUACAACAUGUAAUGUUAUAACAUAUUAUUAUUGAAAUAAA